rnacentral:lncRNA from 1 species
GGGGAGUUAGCAAGAGCUCCUGAAUACUGCAAAGUGGCUGUUGCUGUCAUGUUGUCCACCGCAAUUGGAGAAUCCAUGAACGGGGAGGCAGCAACCAAGUACUUGCCUGUAUUUUUGCUAGUUGUGACAAGGACAUUGGUGGUCUGGCCCGGGGCAAUUAGGACUGUAUCGGUUUUGAAUGGUUUGACAUAGGUGGCAUCAACUUCGACGACUGUAAGCUUAUGCCCUGCAAUUUUGAAGAAGAGCUCUUCAUUGAGUGCUGCGUUGAUCAACCGUAGCAUGUAGGUCUCGCCACUUUUGACUGGCAAUGUGAAACCGCCUGCAUGUAUCCAAAAAUCUCUCUGUAUCAGGCAUUUAUUAGAAGCAAGCAUUGAGAGCCAGAAAUUUGAAGUAUAUCUUAUGGUCAUUAAUCUUAGUUGAAUACCCUGUGAAGAACAAGUUGAGACAGCUCCUGGAUGGCCGUUAAUUGUGUGAGCAUCAGAGACAUUUGGAGCUAAUCCAGAUUUAAGAGCCUCGUUGAUCACAGCUUCAGUAUCUGAUUUCCACCAUUCAGCUGCAAUUUCACGUCACCACAUUAGUCUCAGGUUAAAUAUUUAAUAACCAUGAACCUUAAAGCAUUGAAUUAUGGUCGGAAUGCACAUAAUUUCAAGAGUUUUAGUGAAAGAAAUAGCUAUCAUGUAUCAUGCUCACCUAAUACAACAACCACUUCUUUAUGAGGAGCUGGGAAUGGGUAGGGGAUGCCGCGUUUAGGCAAGACAACCAGGGCACCAUGAACCGUGCCCUUAGCCAGAGAAUAUGUGCGUGCCAAAGAAGUGUGCCCCUCUGACCAGUGAUUGUGAAUUGUAGACAUAGCUUUGCCCUGGCUGGAUGGGGCAUUGUGUAAUGUAGGCUGGUCCAUCAGCCCAGCCCGUUCGUAGUUGCCUGAUGCCAUGCCUGCCGGAUACCGAGAAGAAUCCGCAUCGGAAUCAGUCAUGAUCAAUUGAAGUAUAACUCAUUUACAGGGUUUGUUUCGUUAGCUUACCAGUGAAUAGAAACAUUAUAUUUGACAUGGUUAACAACUUUUACAAGAACUGUAUCGUCUUCUCUGGCAUACAGAGUGGGUCCUGGGAAGCGGCCAUUGACGGUAACAAUCGGCUUCCUAGAGCAUAGUCUGGUAGUUUUUCAUCACCACCUGUGAAAUGAUAGGUGAAAUAUUUAAGCUCAUUUCUACAUCAAAUGCAUAUAAUUCAAAGGUCAUGACUGCUAAACUGUCCAUAUUGUUUAAUUUGUUGUGACAAAUUAUGUCACUACAGUGAUUUUAGAUCUUACCACCCUUUUCCUAUUUAAUAUUUUUUUUAAUGGUUCCUUGAACAUAUAUUUAUAUAUAUAUAUAGUGAGAGCUUUCUGCUUCAAUUAUUUAACCAUAAAGUAAGCACGAGAAUACACUUUUCUGGUAUUUAAAAUAGUGGCUAUAGGUAGGUGGCAACUCUAUGAUUUCCAUUUGAAUCAUGGACUAGUCAGGAAAAAGAUAUGGGUAAAUUAAGUUGCAUGAUUUUAAGCCAAGGCAGUGUCAUGAUGUACAAUGCAUCGUGCAAAACAUGGCUAUCUUCUAAUAACGAAAUGCAUUUCAAAGAAGAUUUUCGUCACAUGAAUGAGACUAAUGACCUAAAGCUCAAGCAGUUCAAGCUUUCGUCACAUGGAACUAUGGAAGCUUGCUACAGCAUUUAACUUACAUUGAACUUGUAAUGACGAAUCCUGCACUCGACCAAAGCAGGGAGGAGGCAGACAGCAAGAAGCAUAAAACGGAUGACCCAAUUGGAGUGCUCCAUCUUUGCUGACUUCGAGACCUUUCUGUGGCAAUCUCUCUGUUGCUGUUGGUUUCCUUCUUGCUUUCAAGCUUGUUGUCUUCUUCAUCCGUGACUGGCUACCUCAACCUUAUAAAGGGAAUAUGGGAAUUGCUGCCAUGUCGUUUUUCACAGUUAGGUUAGGUGGGUGAGUGCACUCUUGGAAAACAAGGAUUAGCAGCCUAAUCUCACGAGGUUUCUUACAUGCUACAUAAAGUCUUCUUGUUCAUAGAUCAACAUAGAUUGGGAAGCAGACCAUGUGUUUUCUAAUUUUUGCAUUUGUUAGGAACCUUGCAUGGAAGUUUGAUAAUUUGGUGGCAUAGGAAAUCUGUAAAUUAAAUGAUUAAAUUUGGUACCCACUUCCUGCAUAUUAAUCCUGAAAACAUUCUCUUGUCCUGCUAUUUACUCAAGUAGGUUCACAACAAUAAAAAAACAGAGUAAAAGAACAUGUGGUCAAUUGAUCAGCAACAGACAAGUCACCUUAAUUAAUCACCAUUUUAGAGUUUAUUUUAUUUUAUUACAUUUUUUUAGGACGUAGUGCUCUUCGUUGACGUAAGAACAAUAUGGGUUAUAAGUUGGGUAGGCCAAACUCUCCUUUUCAAGGCAUUACUUGUAGACCUUGUAAAGGAUGUCCCAGGAUUACUUGCGGCUCUGAAUUCUACAGAUGAAUGCUCACCAGGUCCUUUCCACGGUGAUGUGUUUUUUUGGAUUCAUUAUUAUAUGAAAAUCCAUGCAUGAUCCGAUCAAUAUUUUCAAUUCAAUUCAAUGCUUUUGCGCAUCCGUCUGUUUGUUAAAACCAUUGAUUUCAAAUCUAAUAGUAAAAAGGAAACAACUAAAUGGCUUGAUUCGGCUUAAUUAUUCAACAAUGAAUCAAGUUGAUAUAUUGUGUCGAGGUUGUGGGUUUGAUUCCUAGCUACAGAUAGCAGUAUCUUCUUUCAAAAGAUAGAUGAGAGUUGCUUGUCUUCUUUUUUCAAAUAAAGAAGAUGUGCUCGGCCCAAGCCUGCAGGCCUCCCCCAAGCCCAUGUGCCUGCGCGUUCAGCUUUAUAGUACCACACCAUUUGAGUAUUUUUUUCUUUUUUUUUCUUUUGAUAUCAUCUUUUAAUGUGAGGUUUUUUUUAAUUUUAUUAUUUAAAAUUAGAUUGAUGGUAAAUCAAAAUUUAUAUUUUUUAUUAUAUAAUUAAAUUAAAAAAUUAAUUUGACCUAGUGAAGCUCAAACUUUGGUUACGGGUUUGGCGGGUUGAUUAGGUUGAACCUGAAAUGUUUUUUUUUCUUUGCACCUACCCAGUAAACAAUGUCACAUAAAAACAACUUUCAUAUAAUUUAAUUUAAAACUUGAGCUAAACAAAUAGUCAUGUUAAGAGUUAUCAAAUUUGAACCGUUGUACCUAGUUUAAUGAUAAUGUCGAAAAGUUUCAUAUGGUUUAUAGAUUAUUUUCUUAUGUUCCAAUAAAAUUUCAUUCAACCCACAACGAUAAUGUAGAAAAUAAACUAGUUAUAUCUAAAUACAUCAACAUCCGUUACUCAUUUUUAUUGACAUUAGUAUUGUAAUAAAAACAUUUUGCUUUGUUAGAGGGGCAUUUUGCUGCAAAAUUUGUCUUGGAACAUGGUUAAUGAAAAUAUUUGAGGCCAAAUUAAAAGUGGAUUUAUUCAUUUUUGGGGUUAAAACUUUGUUGGAAUUUAAUUUCCAACAUAAACUCUUUAACAUAGAAUAUUAAUAUGAUUUAAAUAAAUUAUGGAUGAAUAAAAAAUUAUUCUCAAAGAACUAUUGAUUGAAAUGUUGUAGUGAAACCCAAAGCUCUUUAAAAACUCUAUUCCGCAUUGAAAAGAAAUAAGUUUUUUUUGUGGCUUAUUUAGUAAGAAGGCGAAGAGUUAAUAUUGAGAACAAAGGGAACCCAAUUUGCUAGAGGGAAAAUAUCAUAAGCAAAGUGGGUUUUGAACUUAAACUCAUACGUAAGCAUGUGUCGACACGAUGUGGCUCGAACCUAGGUUUAGGUUUAUUAUAAAAUAGUUUCUUGUUAUGUGAACUCAUAAACAAGAAAAAAUACAACCCAAAAAAGAUAAAAUCAAAUUGAAGAUAAAAACUUGAUCUAGUGAUUACCUUGAAUCAAAUAAUCGAAGCUAUUGGAUGAAUGACCACAACUUGUUGAUUAUUGAGUGUAAACACGCAAGGGAGUAAGUGAUGAUAAUUGUUUUUUAUUGCUAACAUAAAAUUUUAAAUUUAACAAUGUCUUUCAAAGAUGGGGCAUCCUCUAAAAAGGAGAAAAGGAGAACAUCUUAUUUUUGUUAGGGGUUAUAGAACAACAAUUUGAGAGGAUGAAUGUGAUAUUUGGUGAGGUGUAGGAUCAUUGAUGAGAUGGCUGAUGAGAAUGAGGAAGGAGAAGCCAAAGAUUUUGACCUUGUAUUAUUUGACCAAAAAGAUUUAAGAGUUAUUUGAUGGGCUUAUUCAAGAUAUUUAGGUCAAGUCAAGUUUUAAAAUUUCAAGAAAGGGUGUCUAAGCCUUGAUUAAUAUGGUCCAUAAAAGGGUUAGGCAAGGAGAGGUAAUUUUAGGCCUUUUUUUUUUCUUUUUAAUGUACAACUUUAUGCUAACAAGUAUAAUUUUCAAUCUAAACAUUGAAUCGAAUUGAUAUUUUGCCAAAAGAUUUCACAGACCUUAUUUUUUAUAAGGUUAAAUUUGAAUAUCAAUCGAAAUUUAGGAAGGCCUUGAGAUAAAAACUAGAAACUACUAUGCGAAAAUUGCAUUAUUUUUUCAGUUGGUUUAGGAUUGUCUUUCCUUCUGACUUAUAGAUUUCCUAUAAAGUGGCUUUCUUAUUCUACAAGGACACUAGAGGCGACAUACUUAGAGUUAUUAAUUGGCAAGAUUCCCAUGUUUCAUUAGGAUUCAAAAGUUAUUGAUUUCUUUAUUUUACAUGGACACACGAGAGGUAGUAGUAAAGAGUUUCAAUUUUUGCAAGUUACACCUUAUUUGUUAAGGCUAUAUAAAAAUUAUAAAUCAAAAGAAUAAGGAUUAAAUUAAAAAAUAUAAUAUUUAGUGAAUUGUGAUUGAAGAAGGAAAUUAAAAAACAAAUAAAAUUUCUAUAAAAGAGCCAAGAACAAAAAUUAAAAAUCAAAAUAAUAAUGAUUGAAGUUGAAACACCAACAACAAAAAGAGCAAACUAUAAUUUUUGAAUAAGAAGAGAGAAGAGAAGAAAAAAGAAAUGAGUAGAAAGGUCUAUCGACGACAAACUGAAUCACAACCUAAGAAAUGCAUCAAACCAACAAAAAACAAAACAUGGUGGUGUUUCCAAUGACUUGAUGAAAGGGUAUUUUUGGACAAUAGGAGGCGCCGCACACGUGUGACGCCUCCUAUAGUGUGCUAGCGCCUCCCGCAUGCUUCGAGGUGUUGUACAUAUGCCUAAUUUUUUUUUUAUUCAAAUAUCAAAUCACCCAUAAUUUUACAUGUUAAUAAUGAAAAAACCUAUGGAAAAAGUCCCUUGAGAUAAUUUUUUAUUAUAAUUUUUUGACUUCUAAUGGCAUUUUGAUCAUUUCACAAUGUUUUUUAUUUUAUUUAUAUAUAUUUGUCCAAAUUCAAAAUUACCCCUCAUAUUACAUGAUAAUAACAAACAAAAAAAAAACUAUUUUAAAAGUAUCAAAUUGUCCAUUGAUGCCAGCAUUAAAAUUUUUGCUUUUAAAAUCAUUUCAGUCUUUUCACUGUAUUUUUAAAAUUGAAAAAGAUAUAAUUGCUUCUAAUUAAUUUGAGAAUGACUAAGGCACCUCGUCAAACGACUUUGAUUUUCCCAGAACUAGUUAUAAGUUUUUUUUUAUGGAAAAGACAUAUGUGAUUGGAAUGUUCUAGUGAAUAGUGUCAAUGCAUCUGCAGCUUCACUAUUUUCCUAACCAGUUUUAUCUGAAGGAUAUUGGGGGGAAAAAUGAAGUUAUCUUCUAUUUUAUCAAUCUUCUUAAUUUAUCUUUUCUCUUUUAAAAAAAACAAAAAAAUAAAUAUACUGGAAAAACAACAUAAAAUGGAUGAAAAAUAUUAAGUUAUAAAUGGUUUUAAAAACAAAAAGAGGAAAUAUAUAGUUAAAACUAUAAUUAAUUUAUUUAUUUUAAUAAACUACAAAAUUUAGUUCCUAGUAACUCCAUGCUUCAGUUUGUAUUUUUCCCUUCGUUUUCUCUCUUCACCUAGUGUUUAUUUGAGAAUAUAAUAAAGAUUAUUUUUUUUAUUUUAAAAUAUAUUAAAAUAAUAAUUUUUUACUUCACCAUACAGCUUUUGGGUCUAAGAAAUGCAAUCAGUGCUAGAAUUUCUGAUCAUUGCCGUGUUAUAUAUAUAUAUAUAUAUAUAUAUAUUAUUUUUUUUUUAUUUUCGCGCUGCUAAAACUUUGCUUCCUUAUUCUUUAACAAUUUCGUUACUUGUCUAAAAAAAAGAGACUAAUUCUAAUCGAACUCUAGCAUUUACUAUUGAUACAUAUUAUUUUGCCUUUAUUUUUAUUUUCUUAUUUCUUGAAGGGCUUGAAAGCCCAAGGAUCGAUUCUGGCCAGACACGGGUCAAUAUAUAGCUUAGAAAAGUUAAUCGGACCUGAUCUAGGUCUUAUCCGACCCGACCCAUGAACAUAUUUAGAAGCAUACAAGUUUUAUUGAUCAUGAAUGGCUUUGUGAUCAAAUCUUCAAUAUAUAUAUAUUUAUUCAAGAAAAAAUAACAUUUGAAUUGAAAAAGCUAUACUGCUCACAAAAUUUUAUUCAAACUCGCUUGAGCAAAUCUUCCAAUUCACUCAAGAAACAAAUCGGAUCUUUAACCCUCAAAUUAUAUAUAUACACACUCUGCUCUCUUCGAGCAUAGAAUGUUUCUACUGGGACCAAGUUUCCUGAUACAGUAUGGCUUCUAUCCCUCAAGUUAGUAUAGUUCUUGAUCUGAUUUCAACAUUUUGGAAGGUCGCUUGGCGGCGGUAGAAGAGACUCCUUGGGGCCUUUGCCAUUGUCUACCAAGAACGCCAUCUUAAGUCCCCAUGUAGUGUGCACCUCUAGAUGGCAAUGCAUGAACCAAACUCCUACAAGAGAUGCAAAGAAGAAAAUCAGAGAACAUGAAAUUAAACAAGCAUGAAAAUGCCAAGCUCUGUGGACUUCCAAACGAAAACAUUAAACAGCAAUUACCAGGAUUAUCGGCGCGAAAUCUUAUCGCCACCCAUCCACCAGAAGGUACUCCAAUUGUGUUCCGUUCAACGGAUCAACGAGGUUAAAUUUCUUAGUAUCAGUCUUCGGAUUGUAAUUCCCUACUCCCCUACCGACAGCAAAGAAAUUGAAUCCAUGUAAAUGGAUCGGAUGGUUCUCAGGGGAUAUGAUCCCAGUAUCUUGCAUAACAAGCUGGACUGUCGAGUUGUAGCUCAGCCUGUAAACUUUAGUUCCACUUUUGGUCUGUAAAUUUGUAGGUGGAGUGCCAGUGUAAUUGAAAACAUGCGGUGGCUUUGCAGGAAAAUCUGUGGUGAACACCCCGCUGGUGUUGAAGAAAUGUGCUUGAAGCAGGGCAGUGGUUGGCAUCACGAAUGUGACAUUGUUAAUACUAGCAACUACCCUGCUGCCAUUACCAGCUUUGCAACUUGGACAUGGGUUAACUCCUAGACCAACUGUAAAGAAAAGGUUGUGAUCAACGCUCAAUGGGACUUUGGCAGGAAAUCUUCUUGAGUUAAGGCUGCGGAGAGAAUUGGUAAAUUGGUUGGCAACUGCAGUGGCAUUCUUUGGAGGUGGGGUGGUGAGAGUUGUAGGGGAGUUAGCGAGUGCUCCUGAAUACUGCAAAGUGGCUGUUGCUGUCAUGUUGUCCACCGCAAUUGGAGAAUCCAUGAACGGGGAGGCAGCAACCAGGUACUUGCCUGUAUUUUUGCUAGUUGUGACAAGGACAUUGGUGGUCUGGCCUGGGGCAAUUAGGACUGUAUCGGUUUUGAAUGGUUUGACAUAGGUGGCAUCAACUUCGACGACUGUAAGCUUAUGCCCUGCAAUUUUGAAGAAGAGCUCUUCAUUGAGUGCUGCGUUGAUCAACCGUAGCAUGUAGGUCUCGCCACUUUUGACUGGCAAUGUGAAACCGCCUGCAUGUAUCCAAAAAUCUCUCUGUAUCAGGCAUUUAUUAGAA